rnacentral:lncRNA from 12 species
GUUUUGUUUUGUUUCUCUGUUGCCAUUGCUUUGAAGGCGUUUUGAUUCUGCUUCUGGUUUGAUAUACAGAGGAAAGUCUGGUGGUAUUUCUUUUUUUUUUUAAUAAAUAUUUUAUUUAUCAUGAGAGACACAGAGAUCGAGAGAGAGAGAGAGAGAGAGAGAGGCAGAGUCACAGGCAGAGAGAAAAAGCAGGCUCCAUGCGGGGGCCUGACAUGAGAUCGAUCCCGGAGACCCGGGAUCACACCCGCGGGCCGAAGGUGGCACUAAACCGCUGGGCCACCAGGGCUGCCCCUCUGCUGGUAUUUCUUGGUGGAAUACCCACUCUGUAGAAGGGCCCAAACAUAUAACAUGAUGUGUUCCAGAAAUUCUUGAUCUUUUCUGGGACAUGACCCUUUUAGGGGUUUAUUUAAAAGUUAUAGACCCCCUGUGCUUAAAAUACAUAUUCACAAUAAAAUUUGCAUAAAAUUUUAGGAUGGUCUUGCACUCUUUGAAGCUCAUCAACAGAUCACUGGCCUAGAUACAUUGCCCUUAAAUAAAACUUUCUAAAAACAAAAUGCACACAAAUACAUACACACAACACAAGAAAUGGUGGUGGUAAGACUUUAAGUUGUCCUUCAGGAGUUAUUUUUCUCUUUCCCUUGAAUUCUUGGUUCUUGGUGCCUUGUCUACUAUUUCCUGUUUUAACCCUGGCUUUGUCAAUCAUGCUGAAGGACUGCAAUCCUGUUGCUUUAAAUGCAGGGUUUGGGGAUUUCCUGGAGCUGUUUUAAAAUGUCACUCCUUAAAAAAAUAAAAUAAAAUAAAAUGUCACUCCUUGUUUUUCUUUCUGAAAGCUGCCCUUUUAGAAAAGAGACAGAGAAAGAGAGACAGAGAUGGAGGAGAGUGUGGAGGCUAAAGGGCAAGAUACAUGCAGAGAACAGCCAUAAGGAAAAAGGAAGGCGGCUGCAUAUAGUAGGAAGAGAUGAGCAUGAACUAGUGCAGCACAGACAGGAGGAAGGCAUAAUGGCAUCUUCUUCAAGCUCAGCACUCACUGGAGAGAAGAGGAUGAAUUCUGACAGUGUGCAAUCUAGCUGAGGAUCCCGGGUUCCAGAGGAGUACAAAUAAAGCCCCUGGAGAUACAACUGAGAAGUGUUUC